rnacentral:tRNA from 1 species
GGAUUGUGCUCAGUGGUAGAGUACUUGCCUAGCAUGUGUGAGGUACUGGGUUCGAUUCUCAGCACCA